rnacentral:misc_RNA from 1 species
AAAAAAGACGUAACUAGUGAUAAUGUUUUUCCGUUGAUAUUUUUGCUAAUUCUGCUUUGUAAAGACAUAUAUGAUUUCUGAACCACUGUUUUUGCUUGAUUCUUGGUUCUUAUUUAAUUUUAGAUUAUCUUUUGGCUUAAUGUUUAGGCUUUAAAGUUGAAUAAUCUUUUCUCUCUUCUCUGCCCUUGAAAAUUUGUAGGCUUAUAGCAUACUUAACAGCACCUUCCAAUGUUUC